rnacentral:rRNA from 1 species
ACCAUGAAAGUAAAAAAAAUUUAGUUUUAAUUUUGAAACUUUUAGUAAAAAUUGUAGAUACUUUUAGAAAAGUAAAAUUUUGGAAGGUUAAAAAGUUUAAGAGAGAGUUAGAAAAAUUCUAAAGUAAAACUAGGAUUAGAUACCCUAUUAUUAUUGAGAGAAGAAAAAUUAGGUAGUAGUGGAAGGCUUGAAACUUAAAGAAUUUGGCGGUGUUUUAAUCUCAUCAGAGGAACUUGUAUUUUAAUUCGAAAUUACUCGUUUAAUUUUACUUAGGUUCUUGUUUGUAUAUCGUCGUAAAAAUGAGACUUUAAAGUGUAUAUUUUAGAAAGAAUUUCUUAAAAUUACAGAUCAAGGUUCAGCAAUAUCUAAGCAUAAUAUGAGUUACAAUAUAUUUGUUAAUAUAUUUACGGAAAAAGGGUUGAA